rnacentral:rRNA from 1 species
AUGGGCCAGUGCAAAUCCUACUUGGAUAACUGUGGUAAUUCCAGAGCUAAUACAUGCAACUGAUAUCCCGAAGGCGGUGUUGGGGCUUGCUUGUCUUGCCCUGCGCUGCUCUGACGGAUGCUUUUAUUAGACCAAGCCGCUGAGGACUUGAGGGUUCGCGCUCUCUUGUUUGACUCGUGUGAUGGUGACUCUGGAUAACCAAAUUCUGACAAGCGCACGUACUUCUCUUCUGAGCGAGACGGCGCUGCCACUUUCGAGUGUCUGCCUUAUCAGCUAUCAACCGUUCGUUAUGCGCGACCGAUGGCUUUGACGGGUAACGGGGAAUCAGGGUUCGAUUCCGGAGAGGCAGCCUGAGAGACGGCUACCACGUCCAAGGACGGCAGCAGGCACGCAAAUUACCCAAUCCCAGCAAAUGGGGGAGGUAGUGACGAAAUCUAACGAUGCGGGCGCCCUUUCUGGGGCCCCGCAAUCG